GGCAUCUUAGCUCAGUGGUUUGAGCAUUGGCCUACUAAACCCAGGGUUGUGAGUUCAAUCCUCAAGGGGGCCA
rnacentral:tRNA from 1 species